CUAUUUCUGACACUAAUUACAUCAAUAUGAUAAGCUGUAGGGUCUCUGGGGGCAGGUAGUAUUUCAUUUUUGUCUUGAUAUCUCUAGUGCUUAUCGCAAUGCCUGUUAUAUAGCAGGAGUUUAAUAAAUGCUUGUUGAUUGAUUAAAAUCGCUCAGGACCCUCUGGCAACUCUCUAAGACGUCAAGUUUUAGAGUAAUUGUUGGUCUCUCUUGAUGAAGGCAUUUUCCAAAGGGGAGCUCUCCCUAUUCAUAAAAUCACAAAUCCGAACCAAAGGAAAAUGUCUUUACAUUUCCUAAAGUGUUAGAAGCCAUUUUUUGAUGGAUAACAUUUGUUACAAGAUUACAUAAGUGAUGGAUGCGAUAACACAAAAAGCAAUUCAUUUAAUAAUUUCGGGAUGUAUUUUUUUUAAAUUCAGAAAUGUAAAAGAGAAAGGCCCAGCGUCCCACAGAAUUCUGGGAGACAGGUGUGGGAAGAUAAGAAGGAAGAAGAUGUCAAGGAAGCUGGGAAUGGGGACUGGGCAGGUGGGACCCAGGAGAAAUGCUAUUGGCUGGAUAAACACAGAAAAAAUCUCCAGGACCAGAGAACAUUUUAGAGGUCUGUCUAGUGACCCAAUUAAGCAGUAAGAUGGAAAGAACAUCGCCGGGGAAUCAGAGGAUAUAGGUUCAAAUCCUGACUAUGUACCAUGCUUUUUCUGUCACCUUGGGCUAGUUACUUUACCUCCAAGUCCUCAAGUGAUGCCCUAGAACGUAUCUAUUAAGUCAUUAGCUCAUUGACUAUUUGUAAAUAGGGAGAGAAAUCUGAGGGGCAGGUAGGUGACUUUGUGCUUUGAGAGCCAGGCCUAGAGAUGGGAAGUCCUGGAUUCAAAUUUAUUCUCAUACACUUCCUAGCUGGGUGACCCUACACAAGUCACUUAACCCCCAUUGCCUAGUUCUUACAACUCUUCUACCUUAGAAAUAAUGCAUAGCAUUGAUUCUAAGAUGGAAGAUAAGGAGUUUUUUAAAAGGAGGGAAAUCCACUCAGACUCUCAAUCCCCCUAAUACUGAGGAAACAAGUGUGUAGAUGUAGAGAUGUAUAUGAUUAUAAAAAUCAAUGUAGUACUGGAUCACAUAUAUUAUGCAUUUUUACUUAAAGCAUAUUGGGC
rnacentral:lncRNA from 1 species